AUCAAUUUAGAGAGUGAACAGACUCUGAACUUAAUGUUAUUUCCUCUGUUGCUUGGUUGAAUGUUAUAAUCAUGGUCAAAGCAAUCAUUUUAAAUAUAAUCAUUAUCUACUGGUUACCAGUUUGUGUGGUUUGUUCUCCUGUCAUUCAGCAGUCUCCCAAACAUCUCCUACAGACAGUGGAGGAGAAAGAUGCAAAGCUUUCUUGCCGUCAUGGUGAUAAUGACUAUCCAUACCUGUACUGGUAUCAACAGAAAAACAGUAGUGGUUCUUUGGAGCUCAUUGGAAUGCUCAGUUAUGGUGCAGAUUCUGAAGAGGAGAAAUUUAAACCUCGAUUUGACAUCACAGGACAUGCAAAAGAGGAUGCAUUCCUGCUCAUAUCCAACAUAACUGCUGAGGACAGCGCAGUUUAUUUCUGUGCAGCACGUGCACACAGCUGUACAAUUCCUUAUAACCGCUGA